UACAGAGGUCCCAAGCGUUGUUCGGAUUCACUGGGCGUAAAGGGUGCGUAGGCGGUUUUAUAAGUCUGAUGUGAAAUCCCGCAGCUUAACUGCGGAACUGCAUUGGAAACUGUUUGACUAGAGGAAUGGAGGGGAGACUGGAAUACUUGGUGUAGCAGUGAAAUGCGUAGAUAUCAAGUGGAACACCAGUGGCGAAGGCGAGUCUCUGGACAUUUCCUGACGCUGAGGCACGAAAGCCAGGGGAGCAAACGGG
rnacentral:rRNA from 1 species